rnacentral:lncRNA from 10 species
UGUGGAUGACUUACCUCAUCCCUUUCAUUGCUCCCCACCACACUGCAUUCCCCAUAAAGGAAGUAGCUAUUUUAGGCAAGGGAAAAUGAGAUGGUGGGACUUUCCCCAAAAGCAGGCUUGUGCCUGAUGCAGGGUGGAGGAGCCCCACGCCCUGUGGAAGGACAAACACAGCGUCAUCCACAGACGUUGCCCAUGGGUCCAGUCCAUCCAUCGGUGACUUAUGGGCAAAAGGGAAGGAAGGAAAGGAAAGAAGAUUGAGGCAGGCGGGACCUGAUAUGGCAAGUGAACAUCAAGGCCUGCCUUGCCUCACAGGGCAGCUGGGGACCAACCCAUACGAAUCCAACAUGCGGAGGAAGCCAGAGCCGGAGCAGGAGGCAGAGACCUGAGGAUGGGCUGGAGCCUGUGUGCGGGGCUUUCUGUCACUUGCAGAGUCCUGGCUGGUACACUGAGGAGCACUAGCUUGUAUGGCAUUCUUUCCAUGAUUGGAGUUCAACGAUGGGAGACCAGGGAGAUGGAGUAGUUUGAGCUCCUGGGGAAUGAUAACAUCUGGAUCCUGAGAGGGGAGGAAAAGCAAACGCCAGCAAUGACAUAGGAUCAGAAAGGUGCUCAGCAUGGGGCUGUCUGUGGGAGGGGCCCAGGUGCUGGCACCUACGUGACUGAGGGCUUGUGGGAGGGGGAGGGAAACUGCUUUGCAACAGCAGGGGACCCAGGUGGGGUAUGUGUGGGGUAUGUCCCAGUCACCUCAGGGAAGGGGGGCAUUGAAGGGUGUGCUCAGGAUCCACCUCUUCCCCGAGUUCUCCCUUGAUGCAAGCAGCCUAGGAUCAGACUUCCUUGAAUUCUAGCUCAUCUGCCAGGGAGGCACUACUUCAGCCAGAAGACCGCCUGGAGGACUUCAUGGGGCUUCAGAACCCAGGGCACUCCUGCCACAUGUUAUCAAUGACUUUGCAGUAUUGUGAUAGUGUGUGAUACCACCCGUCAUAUGCAGUAACAAGGAGGGAGACUGACCGAACUUUGAAGGCAUCCUUCCUGUUAGAAUUUCAACUACCUCCAUAUCUAGUACAGGAGAGGGAAGUAAAUGCAGUGGAAAUCUGAUUUUUUUUUUCACUCUGUUCCCCAGGCUGGAGGGCAGUGGCACAAUCUCGGCUCACUGCAACCUCCGUCUCCUAGGUUCAAACGAUUCUCCUACCUCAGCCUCCCGGGUAGCUGGGAUUACAGGCAUGUGCCACCAUGCCCGGCUAAUUUUGUAUUUUUAGUAGAGAUGAGGUUUCUCCAUGUUGGUCAGGCUGGUCUCGAACUCCUGACCUCAGGUGAUCCAUCCGCCUUGGCCUCCCAAAGUGCUGGGAUUACAGGCAUGAGCCACCACACCUAGUCCCUGAUUUUGUUUUAUCGGCAAAUUCACUGUUGAGGGUUGGAGCAGCCUGUGAUAUCCGUGUGAGUCCAUUUGUGAAACUGAAACUUUGUAACAAGAACUAAGAUAGUUAUUGAGAAGUGCUUUGAAAAUGAUCCAAGGAAGCUUUCCAAAGUGACUCUGUCCCUGGGAAGGGAGGAAGGGACCACAAUAUGCCUGUAUCAGAUUUCUACUGCUGUGUAACAAAUGACCCCAAAACUUAGUGGCUUGAAACAACAAUGAACAUUUAUUAUUUCAUAGUUUCUGUGGGUCAGGAAUUCAGGAGUGGCUUAGCUGGGUGGUUCUGGCUCAGGGAUUUCAUGGGGUUGCAGUCAGGGUAUCAGCUGGGGUUGUGUCAUUAGAGGCUGAACUGGGGCUGGAGGAUUUACCUCUGAGGUGGUGCACCCACAUGCCUGGCAGGUUGGUGCUGGCUGUUGGUGGGAGGCCUCAGUUUCCCACCACAUGGACUCCUCUACAGAGCUGCUUAAGUGUCCUUACAACAUGGCAGUUGGCUGCUCCCGAGGAAGUGAUUCAAGGAGAGCAAGGCAGGAACCAUGUCUUUUAUGGCCUAGCCUUGGACAUCAUUUCUGCAGUCCUACUGGUUGCCAGAUGGGUCCUAUUCAGUGAAGAGGGGACUCUCCAGGAUGUGACUACUGGGGCUCACUGGGCAGCAUCUCAGAGCUGCCACCAUGCUGCUGCGUGGUUGGCCCAUCUGGAACACUUAGUCUUCAGUCACUUGGUUUGAUUCAAGAACAAAGAGUUAGAAACUCUUCACCUUUUGAAUGCAAGGAAGUAGGCUGACCCCUCAAAGUGUGCCAGACAAGCCAUUUUAAGCAUAGUUGGGUGAGAUGCAAAGAGGAAGCCUGCAUAUUCGCUGCUUACGUGAAAUGUUUGGCGCCUACUCAUGCUUUCUAUCCACAGAGUCUCACUGAUAGUUUGUCAGCCUUGCAUCCCAUCUGCCCCAUGUGGGUCCUGUGAAGCUGCUGGUCAACCUAUCCCCUGGCUUUGGGGGAAUGCAACCCAUGUCUGGCCAACUGUGGUGCCCCAUUUCCCAGUCUAGAGUUGUUGGUCCAAGAGGAGGCUCUCUCUUACUCUGAAAUCAUGAGCUGAGGGUUUACUGUGUAUGCCUGAAGCUAUCAGACAAUGAAGAAAGAAGAGAGAGAAAGAGAGAGAUUUGAGCACCUGGGUCCAGCUAUGACUGAAGCUAGCAAGACACCCAUCUUUGUUCUCUGAAAUUAUGUAAGAAAGUAAACUCCCUUUUUGGAAUUUUGCUUGUUUACUUUUGCUUAAGUUAACUUGAGCUGGAAUUUCAUCAUCACAAUUAAAAACAUCCUAACAACUUAUCCCUUGAAAAUCAUGUGCUUUGCGCCCAGCCAGCCGCCCCGUCAGGGAGGGAGGUGGGGGGGUCAGCCCCCCGCCAGGCCA